UACGUAGGGGGCGAGCGUUGUCCGGAUUUAUUGGGCGUAAAGAGCUCGUAGGCGGUUCGAUAAGUCGGACGUGAAAUCUCCACGCUCAACGUGGAGGGGCCGUUCGAUACUGUCGUGACUCGAGUCCGGUAGGGGAGUGUGGAAUUCCCGGUGUAGCGGUGAAAUGCGCAGAGAUCGGGAGGAACACCCGUAGCGAAGGCGGCACUCUGGGCCGGUACUGACGCUGAGGAGCGAAAGCGUGGGGAGCAACAGG
rnacentral:rRNA from 1 species